UGCUUAUUAAUGAUGAUUUGUAAACAGUGCAUAGUUCAACUGAUUGAAAAGUGAAGAAAUUUAAACAUCGAAUUUAGUCUUUCGCUCCUAUCUGAAUUAUAUU
rnacentral:snoRNA from 1 species